UUUCCGUAGGUGAACCUGCGGAAGGAUCAUUCUUAAUAAAGUGUUUUAUGGCACUUUUUAAAAAUCCAUAUCCACCUUGUGUGCAAUGUUAGAUCUCGUCAAUCUUGGCGAGAUUUUUAUACAUCAACUCAUUUUUUAACUAAUUUGUCUGAAAAAUAUUAUGAAUACUUAAUUCAAAAUACAACUUUCAACAACGGAUCUCUUGGCUCUC
rnacentral:misc_RNA from 1 species